GUAAUUUUUCUGACAUUCUGUUACAUGGGUAUCCCUUUACUUGGGAAAGAGGCAAAGGUAGUUCUCAUUGGGUGCAAGAGAGACUUGAUAGAGCUCUUGCUAAUCUGAAUUGGCUUGAUUAUUUUCAUAAUUGUCGAUUAUCCAAUCUAUCUCACUCAGUGUCUGAUCAUUCUCCUAUGUUCCGUUACUUUGAGUUUAGGUGGUUUUCUU
rnacentral:misc_RNA from 1 species